GAUGAAGAACGUAGCGAAAUGCGAUACUUGGUGUGAAUUGCAGAAUCCCGUGAACCAUCGAGUCUUUGAACGCAAGUUGCGCCCGAAGCCAUCAGGUUGAGGGCACGUCUGCCUGGGCGUCACAUAUCGUUGCCCAAUGCCUAUUGCAGUGCAAUAGGAAUUUCUAGGGCGAAUGAUGGCUUCCCGUGAGCGUUGUUGCCUCGCGGUUGGUUGAAAAUCGAGUCCUUGGUAGGGUGUGCCAUGGUAGAUGGUGGUCGAGUUAGAACGAUACCGAUCAUGUGCAUGCUCCCCAAAAUAUGGCCUCUAAGACCCACACGCGUCUUUUGACGCUCAUGACGAGACCUCAGGUCAGGCGGGGCUACCCGCUGAAUUUAAGCAUAUCAAUAAGCGGAGGA
rnacentral:misc_RNA from 1 species